rnacentral:rRNA from 1 species
UACACUCCUACGGGAGGCAGCAGUGGGGAAUAUUGGACAAUGGGCGCAAGCCUGAUCCAGCCAUGCCGCGUGAGUGAUGAAGGCCCUAGGGUUGUAAAGCUCUUUCACCGGUGAAGAUAAUGACGGUAACCGGAGAAGAAGCCCCGGCUAACUUCGUGCCAGCAGCCGCGGUAAUACGAAGGGGGCUAGCGUUGUUCGGAUUUACUGGGCGUAAAGCGCACGUAGGCGGACUAUUAAGUCAGGGGUGAAAUCCCGGGGCUCAACCCCGGAACUGCCUUUGAUACUGGUAGUCUUGAGUUCGAGAGAGGUGAGUGGAAUUCCGAGUGUAGAGGUGAAAUUCGUAGAUAUUCGGAGGAACACCAGUGGCGAAGGCGGCUCACUGGCUCGAUACUGACGCUGAGGUGCGAAAGCGUGGGGAGCAAACAGGAUUAGAAACCCUAGUAGUCCCAUGA